CAUUAAAGACUGAUGAAGUGGGAUCAACUAUGAAGACUACUAGCAGAUAUGCAUUCGUCGCGCCAGGUGCUAUAGGAAAGGGACGAGGACGAGGAGGGCUUAGAUCUUUGAUUGAGAAAGAGCAUAUGCCAAUUAAGAGUUUAUUUCCUCAAUCUAGUGAUGUAGUUAAGAAAUACAUCCAAUAAAUUGAAACAAGUGCUACAGGGAAGGGACAAGGAGAAGGGCUUAAAAAAUCCACGAUUUCUUCUAGUCAAGGAAUAAGAAUGAUACAUAAAAAUUCCUUGGUUCUUGAGAACGAGUAUAUGCAAACUAAUUGUCCAUUGCCUCCAUCCACUGAUCAAGUUAAGCAAUACACCCAAAAAGUUGAAACAAGUGCUACAAGGAGGGGACAAUAACAAGGGCUUAAAAGCUCUACCAUGUCUGCUUGUCAAGGAAUGCGAUACAUGAAAACUCCAUGGUUCUUGAGUUCGAGUAUAUGCAAAUUGAUAGUCUCUUGCCUCCAUCUACUGAUCAAGUUAAUCACUACACCC